rnacentral:rRNA from 1 species
UACGAAGGGGGCAAGCGUUGUCCGGAUUCAUUGGGCGUAAAGAGCGUGUAGGCGGCCAGGUAGGUCCGUUGUGAAAACUGCAGGCUCAACCUGCAGAGGUCGAUGGAAACCACCUGGCUAGAGUCCGGAAGAGGAGAGUGGAAUUCCUGGUGUAGCGGUGAAAUACGCAGAUAUCAGGAAGAACACCCGUGGCGAAGGCGGCUCUCUGGGACGGUACUGACGCUGAGACGCGAAAGCGUGGGGAGCGAACAGG